GCUUGCCUACGGAUCGCUCAAAGCAAAUAUCUUGAUAUGGUAGAAUACUAAUCAUUCAAGGUGAUUUGCUAAUGUUGUGGUACAUAGAAGGGAUUGUAUCGUUUAUGGAUGCAUAACCGCCAUGACUCGCAUUAGACAAUUGCUUAAAUGCGGUAUUUAUGUCGACCAUAUGAAAGUGAGGAUUAUUCUGAAUGUAUCGCGUGCCUAAUGUUUAUUUAUUAAACCAAAAAGUAAAUUUAUCAUAUGGGCCAAGUG